rnacentral:rRNA from 1 species
GGAGUCUGGGCCGUGUCUCAGUCCCAAUGUGGCCGUCCGCCCUCUCAGGCCGGCUACUGAUCGUCGCUUUGGUGGGCCGUUACCCCGCCAACUGGCUAAUCAGACGCGGAUCCAUCUUUCACCGAUAAAUCUUUCCUCAGAGCAUCAUGCGGUGCUCUGAGCGUAUGCGGUAUUACCAGCCGUUUCCAGCUGUUAUCCCCCUGUGAAAGGCAGGUUGUCCACGCGUUACUCACCCGUCCGCCACUAAACUAUAAAGAUCAGACCGAAAUCAUCUCCAAAUAGUCCCGUUCGACUUGCAUGUGUUAGGCACGCCGCCAGCGUUCAUC